GAGACGUACACAGAGGAACAGAAGUGUACAGGUGCAGCUCUACAGCCAGAGCAGAACAGACGCGACAACACAUUUUUAGUGCCGUCCGCUGUAUCCAUCACCAUGAGUUAUAACAUGGUUAACCAAUGGUCACCUCAACAAGCCCAAUAUUCAGCCCAACAAGUCCAAUGGUCACCUCAACAAACCCAAUAUUUAGCCCAACAAGUCCAAUGGUCACCUCAACAAACCCAAUAUUUAGCCCAACAAGUCCAAUGGUCACCUCAACAAACCCAAUAUUCAGCCCAACAAGUCCAAUAUUCAGCCCAACAAGUCCAAUGGUCACCUCAACAAGCCCAAUAUUCAGCCCAACAAGUCCAAUAUUCAGCCCAACAAGUCCAAUGGUCACCUCAACAAACCCAAUAUUCAGCCCAACAAGUCCAAUAUUUAGCCCAACAAGUCCAAUGUUCAGCUCAAACACCAAAUCAUGAAUUUAAUUUUCCUUUGACGCAGUUGACAUGGAGGUAAAUCCAGUUACUACAAGAAGGAACAAAGACAAAACUAUUCUGUUCUUCAAGCCUUACUUUAAUAGAUCAUAAGAACUGUACAAAACUAUGACCAUCUAAUGCUCUACUUUGUAAAUAAUCAUGAUUACUUGCAGUUUGAAUGCAACUUCCUUCACAGGAGAUCAUAGAUCCUUUAACUCUGAUUACUGAGUUACAUGUACCUCAACUUACACUUUUUUUAUGCAGAUGGAAAUUUGAGAGCUAAAAAACACCAAGUAAUUAAAUAGAUGUGAACACACUAUGGUUUUUAAACAUGCCUCGUUUUCAUGGUUUCCUGAUUAAAGUGUUUUGUUUUAGUCCACAUUAAAACAAUGUAAUGAAAUAAAACUGUUAGUGCAGGAUUGAAGUUUUCAUUUACAUUUUAAGUGAACAUUGUAUCAACCACAAUCAUUUCACAUGUAAAAUAAAAAUAAAAAUGUGUAACAAAUUGUAAAAGAGUACAGCCACA